CGUAUCACCCAAGACAACUUUACGGAGUUGACGAUUGACGGAGCGAAGCGACGUCAAAGCGUUCAUUAAAGUCGAGUUGGCUUAGGGAUACGUUCGUUGGGUAGGGGAGCGUUCUGUAAGCCUGUGAAGGUGUGUCGUGAGGCAUGCUGGAGGUAUCAGAAGUGCGAAUGCUGACAUAAGUAACGAUAAAGCGGGUGAAAAGCCCGCUCGCCGGAAGACCAAGGGUUCCUGUCCAACGUUAAUCGGGGCAGGGUGAGUCGACCCCUAAGGCGAGGCCGAAAGGCGUAGUCGAUGGGAAACGGGUUAAUAUUCCCGUACUUGGUGUUACUGCGAAGGGGGGACGGAGAAGGCUAUGUUGGCCGGGCGACGGUUGUCCCGGUUUAAGCGUGUAGGUGUGUGUUCCAGGUAAAUCCGGUUCACUUUAACACUGAGGCGUGACGACGAGGCACUACGGUGCUGAAGCAACAAAUGCCCUGCUUCCAGGAAAAGCCUCUAAGCAUCAGGUAACACGAAAUCGUACCCCAAACCGACACAGGUGGUCAGGUAGAGAAUACCAAGGCGCUUGAGAGAACUCGGGUGAAGGAACUAGGCAAAAUGGUGCCGUAACUUCGGGAGAAGGCACGCUGACACGUAGGUGAAGUGAUUUAC
rnacentral:rRNA from 1 species